rnacentral:rRNA from 1 species
GUGCCAGCCGCCGCGGUAAGACAGAGGUGGCAAGCGUUGUUCGGAUUUACUGGGCGUAAAGAGUGCGUAGGUGGUGAGGUAAGACCUGUGGGAAAGACCUGGGCUUAACCCAGGAAGGUCACAAGUGACUGCCUUGCUUGAGGACGGGAGAGGAGAGCGGAAUUCCCGGUGUAGCGGUGAAAUGCGUAGAGAUCGGGAAGAAGGCCGGUGGCGAAGGCGGCUCUCUGGAACGUUCCUGACACUGAGGCACGAAAGCGUGGGGAGCAAACAGGAUUAGAUACCCUGGUAGUCCACGCCCUAAACGAUGGGAACUAAGUGUCGGCGGGUUACCGCCGGUGCCGCACCUAACGGAGUAAGUUCCCCGCCUGGGGAGUACGGCCGCAAGGUUGAA